rnacentral:lncRNA from 1 species
UGUUCUAUUCUUUCUUUCAGCCAAACCAUUUUGUUCGGGAGUCCUUGGUGCAGAACAUUGAUGAAUUAUGCCAUGUUGUUCACAAAAUAAAUUAAAAUCACUAGAAAAGUAUUCACCACCUCUAUCACUCCUUAAGGUUUUUAUUUUCUUUCCUAGAUGAUUUUCAACUUCAUUCUUAUAAAUCUUAAACAUGUUAAAUGCUUCAUGUUUAUGUUUCAUUAAAUACACAUAUGUAUAUCUAGAAAAGUCAUCGAUAAAGGUAAUAAAAUACCUAUUUCCACCUCUAGUUAACAUGCCGUUUAAUUCACAUAUAUCCGUAUGAAUUAGUUCCAAAAUACUAGAGGUUCUUUUUACACUUUGAUAUGGUUUUUUAAUCAUCUUAGAUUCUACACAAGUUUUGCAUCUAUAUUCAUUAUUUUCAUUAUAUGAAAUUAAGUCACACUUUUUCAUUCGUUUCAUGGUACUUUUACCAAUAUGUCCUAACCUAGCAUGCCAUAAUGAAAAUAAAUCCACAACAUAAGCAAGAUCAACUUUAUUUAUUUUAUUGUCAACAAGUUUGACCAUUCCUUCACAAGAAUAGCCUUUUCCAACAAAAUUCCCUUUAAGGGAUAAUACAAGUUUACCGGAUUCAUACACACUUUUGAUAUCCGAUUUUUCUAAGAGAUUUCCACUAACUAAGUUCCGAUUCAUAUCUGGAACAUGUAAUACAUUAGUGAGGGUAACGUUUUUCCCGGAAGUGAAGAUUAAAUCUACAUUUCCUUUACCAAUGACUUUGGAUCGAACUUCGUUGCCCAUUUGAAUCUCUUGGUCUCCAUCCAUUUCAUGAUAGGUCUUGAAUAAAGAUUUAUCAUAUGAUACAUGUACCGUAGCACAGGUAUCAUACCACCACCCGGGAACCUUUCCCUUAAUUGCAUUUAUCUCGCUCAUGGUGGCCACAAUCUUUUCUUCUUGAAUGGAGUUGAUUUUACCCUCGGAGUUGUUUCUUUUCCGGUGUCUACAGUCCUUUGCAUAGUGACCAGACUUUCCACACACAAAGCAACCUCCUUUGUUCUUCUUCUUGAACUUGUUAAAGUUUCUUGAAGGCUUCCUUUUGUUGGUUUUUCGAGGUGGUUCAGAUUUCUCUAUGGCAUUCGUUUUAGAAGUUCCUUCCGAAGAGUUUUCACUUCUAUUGCGUAGCCUGGAUUCUUCUUCAAUCCUUAGGUGCCUUUGCAAUUGUUUCAAAGAGUAAUCUUAGGAACUAUGCAUAAUUUUCUUCUGGUAUCCUUUCCAAG